rnacentral:rRNA from 1 species
AACGAACGCUGGCGGCAUGCCUAACACAUGCAAGUCGAACGAGACCUUCGGGUCUAGUUGCGCACGGGUGCGUAACGCGUGGGAACCUGCCUUUAGGUUCGGAAUAACUCAGAGAAAUUUGAGCUAAUACCGGAUGAUGUCUUCGGACCAAAGAUUUAUCGCCUUUAGAUGGGCCCGCGUUGGAUUAGCUAGUUGGUGGGGUAAAGGCCUACCAAGGCGACGAUCCAUAGCUGGUCUGAGAGGAUGACCAGCCACACUGGGACUGAGACACGGCCCAGACUCCUACGGGAGGCAGCAGUAGGGAAUAUUGGGCAAGGGGGGAAAGCCUGGUCCAGCAAUGCCGGGGAAGUGAUGAAGGCCUUAGGAUUGUAAAGCUCUUUUACCCGAGAUGAUAAUGACAGUAGCGGGAGAAUAAGCACCGGCUAACUCCGUG